CAAAUUGACAUACGGGCCUUAUUUUAUAUGUAUUGUAAAUGCAGGUAUUGCAUCAUCUUUUUGUAAAUUUUUGAGUUAUUGAGGUAAAUGUCAGAUUUCACGCAUGAAAUACCUCUCAUGUUUUUCUGUAUUUCAUAACUUAAAUUUCCAUGUAAAUUUCAUUAAAUUCUGUUCAGUAAUAAGAAAGUUGAUAUUUUAUAAACUUCAGUAAUUUAUGUUUUUAUCCCCAAAACCACUAUAAUGGGCCUCAAAUUGUCAAUUCAAAUUCGCGCCAAAGUAGUUAGAUUCCCCGGCUAUAUCGUGAAUCCCGUGGAAACACAAAUAGUCGGAGCUCACGGCUUAACCGUGAAUCCCAUGAAAUUUAGUAUUUGGCGGGACAUUAUCCUUUAAAUAGACUGGACUAGAUAUGCCUUGCGCACACCACCUUCCGACUUUAUAGACGAAUCUAUGUCUGAAUUAUUUUCUUGCUAGAAAUUUAUGCUCGAUCGAGCUUCUUCCGCCAGACGAUUUUACCUGGUGAUGUCAUAACCCGGAAGUACAAUGCCCGAGGUUCACUUGUCUUCACUCGCCUGGAUGUGAUAUUCCCAGCGCAGAGCUUUCGUCUCAUGGUUGUGCCGUAAACCGCAAAGACGAUGAUUUUUGUUAUCCUCUGAAGUCAGCUCAGGGAUGCAAUCACCUACCACCAUAGGGAGCCAACACGGAAUCAACGUAUUCACGGUUUAAAGGGACUGUAUUUUGAAUUUAGAAGCUACGUUUUGUUUGUGCUACUUAAAGUUCACAAUUACAUUAAAGACCUGUGUCACGUCAGAUUAGAAUGGACUAUAAGAA